GGAGAGGUGUCCGAGUGGUUUAAGGAGCUAGUCUUGAAAACUAGUGAUGCUUUCAGCACCCAGAGUUCGAAUCUCUGCCUCUCCGCCA
rnacentral:tRNA from 1 species